CUGCGAUGGUGAUGAUGAUGAUAAUUGAAGAUGAAGAUAGAUAGGAGGCAGCUUAUAGUCCCACUAGUUGCCCAGCCAUAGGAGUCCCACCUAGGCACACUUGAUUCUCACAAGUAAGUUCUCAAAGAGGAUUUUCACAAAGUUCUGGAUUUUGUAAAAUUUGAUGGGUGCCUUUGAGAGCAGCCAGGAUUUGCAUUAUGUAGAGGUGGAAGUCUUGAGUACAACA